ACGUUUUUCAUUUACAACUUCAUGGAUGAACAACACCUUAAUUAAAACAUUAACUAAGAUCAUUACAUCAUCAUGAAAUAUGAUUUAUUACGCAUGAUUAUGAUUCUUUGUUUACAGUUAUGCCACCAUAUUGUUCAUCAGUGUUUCAAAGGAACUAGUCAGCAUUUUAUUUGAGGGUCCACACACAUAAUGAAGUAAUUGAUACAUAAUGCUUAGUUAGUGAUGACUACUGUUUUCAGUUACAGCACUUCCAGAAGAUAUUGUUUUCCCCCUGAGGACGCUCUUGGAGGUUGCUGCAAUGGAGCAGAAAUUGGCAGACCCAACCUUCAACAAACAAGUGGUUGGCGUGGUGGCAGAAAUUGGAGGAAGAACAUUGGAUGAAGCCACCAGAAGAAUGAUGGCCUUCCUUUUAGACCACUCCCUAUCAAGAGAGUACAAUUUUGUUGGCUGCAAUGGAAAGCGAGAGUUUCGGGGCUCAAACUGUUUGAGGAAGUUUGAAAAAAAAUGCCCUUGCAAACCAGAUUACUAGAAGAGAUGCUGAAAAGGCAGUGUCAAAGUGGCUAAUUGGUGCCAGGGACAGGGGAGGAAACCGUACAGCGAGGGCACGUGGUGGAGAGCAAGAUGGGUAAAAGUCAUUAUCAUUAAAACUGCAGUUAAAAAGUGUUUAGCCUACUUAUAUUUGUGUAAAACACAACAUUGGGCUUUUGUCAAACUUUAAACUUUUGUAGGCUAACCUACAACUGUCACCCAACCAAAAUCACACACACACACACACAGUUCAGUGGUUCUGGAGAUUUA
ensembl:lncRNA